UGGGGAAUAUUGCACAAUGGGCGCAAGCCUGAUGCAGCCAUGCCGCGUGUAUGAAGAAGGCCUUCGGGUUGUAAAGUACUUUCAGCGAGGAGGAAGGCGUUAAGGUUAAUAACCUUAGCGAUUGACGUUACUCGCAGAAGAAGCACCGGG
rnacentral:rRNA from 1 species